CCCNUNAGCUAGUUGGUAGGGUAAUAGCCUACCAAGGCUUUGACGGNUAGGGGACCUGNNNNGGUGGCCCCCCNNAAUGGAACUGAAACNCGGUCCAUACACCUACGGGUGGCAGCAGUAGGGAAUNUUAGAAAUGGACGAAAGUCUGAUCUAGCGACACCGCGUGUGCGAUGAAGGCCUUNNGGUUGUAAAGCACUUUUUGGAAGGAAUAGGAAGGAAGGUACUUCCAGAAUAAGUCUCGGCUAACUACGUGCCAGCAGCCGCGGUAACACGUAGGAGGCAAACGUUAUCCGGAUUUACUGGGCGUAAAGCGCGUGUAGGUGGUUCUGUAAGUAGGGCGUGAAAGCUCCCGGCUCAACUGGGAGAGGCCGUUCUAAACUGCAGAGCUAGAGGAUGGUAGAGGGAGGUGGAAUUCCAGGUGUAGCGGUGGAAUGCGCAGAUAUCUGGAGGAACACCAGUGGCGAAAGCGGCCUCCUGGACCAUUCCUGACACUCAGACGCGAAAGCUAGGGUAGCAAACGGGAUUAGAGACCCCGGUAGUCCUAGCCCUAAACGAUGUAGACUAGACGUCGGCGGUGUAAUAGCUGUCGGUGUCCAAGCUAACGCGAUAAGUCUACCGCCUGGGGACUACGGCCGCAAGGUUAAAACUCAAAGGAAUUGACGGGUCCCCGCACAAGCAGCGGGGCGUGUGGUUUAAUUCGUUGCUACACGAAGAACCUUACCUGGGUUUGACAUAGCAGUGGUAGGGAAGAGAAAUCGGACCGACCCUUCGGGGAGCUGUUACAGGUGUUGCAUGGCUGUCGUCAGCUCGUGUCGUGAGAUGUUCGGUUAAGUCCGCUAACGAGCGCAACCCGCGUUGUGUGUUAUAUGUGUCAUACAAUACCGCCGGUAUUAAGCCGGAGGAAGGUGCGGAUGACGUCAAGUCAGCAUGACCUUUAUAUCCAGGGCUACACACACGCUACAAUGGACAGUACAACAGGUUGCCAAGCCGCGAGGCGGAGCCAAUCCUCUAAAGCUGUCCUCAGUUCAGAUUGCAGGCUGCAACUCGCCUGCAUGAAGUUGGAGUUGCUAGUAACCGCAGGUCAGCUAUACUGCGGUGAAUACGUUCCCGGGGAUUGUACACACCGCCCG
rnacentral:rRNA from 1 species